rnacentral:rRNA from 1 species
UAGGGAAUUUUCGUCAAUGGGCGCAAGCCUGAACGAGCAAUGCCGCGUGAGCGAAGAAGGUCUUCGGAUCGUAAAACUCUGUUGCGGGGGAAAAAGGAAGGGAAGAGGAAAUGCUUUUCUUUUGAUGGUACCCCGCCAGAAAGUCACGGCUAACUACGUGCCAGCAGCCGCGGUAAUACGUAGGUGGCAAGCGUUAUCCGGAAUGAUUGGGCGUAAAGGGUGCGCAGGCUGCGCGUCAAGUCUGAAGUGAAAGGUACGGGCUUAACCGGUACAGGCUUUGGAAACUGGCACGCUAGAGGACAGGAGAGGGCGGUGGAACUCCAUGUGUAGCGGUAAAAUGCGUAGAUAUAUGGAAGAACACCAGUGGCGAAGGCGGCUUUCUGGACUGUAACUGACACUGAGGUACGAAAGCGUGGGGAGCAAACAGGAUUAGAUACC